ACGUUGAAAAUAAUUUGAAUUACGAAAACACGUUCGAAAUUGGAAAAAAACAAUCCUAACCAUUUUGGAUUUAAGCAACCUCAAUUCUAAUUCUAGCCCAAUUGGGUGAAGCCCAAAUAACAAAAACCCAAAAUUCUUUACUCCCUCCUCUUCCUAUUUCACGUGAAAGGCAAAAAAAAAAAAAAAAAACCCCACAACCCUUUCCUUCUCCUUCACUGUACGUGACCCUCAACCCUCAACCUCCUUGUUGCUGCCGCCACGCCGCCGGACCAGCCACCGACGACCUCCGUCGUCCUUCUCCACCUUGCCGCCGGUAACUUCUUCUUCUUCUUCUUCUUCCUUUCUCUUUUGUCCCUCUUCUCUUUUCGUCUUGCCCUAACCGUUUAUCCUCCCUUUGUUUCGGUUUCGCACGAGCCAACACCACCACCGUUCGUCGCCGUCGCACCGCCAUCCACGCAGCGACGGUCAGCCACGCAACCGUCAGCCACCACCGCGAACAUCCACCUUGCUCGCAGCCGCCCUUGCGACCACCUGCCGCCGUGACUCAGUCCGUCGGCCGCUCAAACCCACCUCUUUCUUGGCGGAGAAUUAUCUUUAGGCGACUUUUGAAAGUGUUAAAGUGGCCUAUUAGUUUGUUUAUACAAGUCUCUAAGGAUCAAUAAGCAUUGUCCAUUUGCAGGUUUGAAGAUGUUGCAUCAUUGGGAUCGGGAAUAGAGAGCUUGUAUUUAGUUUUGAUUUGCUAAGUUGACUUGGGUUUGUUUAAUUGGACUUUAAACUUGUUAGUUGAUCUUAUUUUCGUUGAUUGGUUUUGGGAUUAACUAUGUAAUCGAUUAUUAUAAACCUAAAGUUAAUUUUAUGUUUUCCGCUG